rnacentral:lncRNA from 1 species
UGGAUAUGACUUAGGAGAAAACUGCGAUUAUGACCUGUCAUAUGCUUAAACUACCAGAUUUAGCUAUAGGAGCCGUUGUUAUUUUUGUAUCGCCGCAGAAUCAACGUGGUAGAUAUCCCAGAUAGUUUAGGUUUCAGUUACGCUCGUACUGGAAUGCCGAGUGUACUUUUACAGUAGCGUUCAGGCUGUUCCGGAUAGUUGGGUGUCGUCGGGAUUGACGAUGGACUCAGUUUGCCGAGUUGGCAUCAGAUUGUGCCGAAGGCACGUGACUUGUUGGUUGCUAGACCAGUUGGACCCUGUUUUCUUGACUUUAGCCUGUGAGAGCCUGAUUGAGUUCGACAGAGAUACGCUUGCAUACUCGUUUGGGUCGCGCCCACGAGUGCCACUCCGGAGUUGGGCUUAGUGCUUUUGCGUUGGUGUCGUUGCGUCCUGGUUGGACUUGCUCUCCACUAACUACCCAGCGUGGUGGUUGUUAGUGUAGCUUCGACAGGCGGGACGGGUGUAUCACAGUCUCUGAUGAGAUUGGGUUAGGAUUUACUUUUACUACAGUUGGUUAGUGUAGAGCAUGAUAGUGUAGUGACAUGUAGCUGUAGAUUGUCUUCCAGCUUUUCCUACUAUCUAUGCUUCCUUCUGUAGACUUAGUAGGUGGACCAAUGAUGUUGAGGGCGGCACCCACUGAGGACUACUUGUUUUUACAGUAGUUCUCAUGCUCAGUUGUUACCCUUCUUUUGCAGAGCGCUCGGUUCCGGCUGCUGCAUCUUUUGGGGCUGAUUGUGGCAUGGGCGUUGCGAGCUAAAGCCCUACCCGACGAGUUACUGAGUUAGAGGAUCCCUGCUGCAGGUAGAUUUACUUUUGUGUGAGUUCAUGUACAUACUGAUGUUAUAACUUGCUGGGGCGAGUCAUUUUGUACCUGGAUAUAAUGUAUGUAUAUGGAACUUGCUUUUGUUUUAUCUGUUCUUUGUUCUAGCAGCUCAAUAUUACUGGUUGUAGUGUUGUUUGAUUACAGUUUCAGUACAGAUUCGCUUCGUAUACAGGAAAAACUCCUUCGUAUACGGCGGGUCUGUUGGCGUGCCCCGAAAAACGUGUAAUCCGGGGCGUGACAGAUUAAGUUGGUAUCAUAGCUUAGCAUUAGGUCGUUGGGACCCAGGAAAUCUAUGUUUGCCAAACCUUCGGAAGGUAAGACGCGAUAGGCGUGAUUUAUCGCGAAAGUCAAUGAUUAAUUAUUUUAACUACUCCUAGAGUGGAGUGAGUGACUGGAGGAGUGCUUGUUUUGGCCUAGAAAAAUUAUGUUGGCUGCAGACGAUAUAAUUUUGAGGAGAAACAGGGGCCGCCUUCUAGACUUUUGUUUGAUUGGGUCGAGAGUGAUUGUAUUUUAUCUGACCCCGUUCCGUUCUUUACUGUUACAGCUAUAUAUCGUCGUAGAGGUCGACCGUUGUUGCGGGGGUGUGCGCAGUUGUCACAGGAUCGUACCGCACCUCUCGGGAUGCCCGAGCAGGCGGAGCAGAGUGCCUGGCAAGAGCAGAGUGUUCGACUGGAGGCGAGUGCAUCCCCUGACUUGGGUGCACAGAUAGCCGCUCUGACAGAGGUGACGAGGCGGUAGGGGGAGUUGUUGGAGAGAUUGUGCAAGAGAGUAGCUCCGCCACAGAGUAUAGUACCGAGAGCACCAGAGCCGGCUGUUCCACUUUCGACUACUUCAGCCGCAGUACCAGCCGCAACAGUACACCCGCCAGUGGAUAUUCCCGCAGCGCCCGUUGCGCCUUCUAUAGGGCUAGGACAGUUGACCGAGGCCGAGCAGGAGCAGAUGACCAAGAGGCUGGCUCGUUUUCACCGUUUUGAUCCGCCGACCUUCGAUGGUAGUGGCACUGAGGCCUGGGUCGUUGAGGGCUGGGUCAAUGUGAUAAAGAAGUUAUUUGAGGAUCUGUUCAUUCCUUAGAGGGAGCAGGUAUCUUUGGGAGUCCUUUACUUGGCAGGCGAUGCACAUGCUUGGUGGAGGAGAGUGAGGCGAGAUCAGGGACUGGUAGCGUUGCAGCUGAGAUGGGAUGAGUUCUGUGGAAUACUGUAUGGGAUGUAUUUUUCCAACAGUGUGAAACAGAAGCUCAAGGAGGAUUUGAAGAGGAUUCAGUAGGGGGAUCAGCCAGUGCAGGAGUACAUUCGGGAGUUUACUCGACUCCUGAAUUGUGUGCUGUUUGUGGCCAGGGACGAGGCACACAGGGUUUAUCUGUUUGAGCAGAGGCUGAGACCCGACAUCUUCAGGUUUGUGCAGACGCAGAGGUCAAGGACCCUGUAAGCAUCCAUAGAGUAGGCCUUAUGGGUGGAGAGAUGUGAGGUGUCACUUAAGGAGAAGACUCAGGCAGUAGGACAGAGUCAGGACAGGAAGCGCCCAGCUCCUGACGACGGAAGAUAGUCGAGCAGCAGGCAUCCGCCGAGACCACCAUGAUCACGCUCUCUGGGUCAUGGGUCUUCGGGGCGUCAGCAUUCUGGGGGAUUCCGUCAGCAGAGGCAGUCGCAGGGGUUGCCAUAGUGUGUGAUUUAUGGGGGACCACAUGGGGCCCGACAGUGUGAGAAGCGUGAGGGCCGGUAUUUUGGAUGUGGACAGCCAGGGCAUAUGAGAUCAGUUUGUCCCCUAGCUGCAUCUCCAGUACCAUCUACGGCCUCAGCGUAGCCAGCAUCUCAGCAGCCUUUUGGAGCAGCUCUGAGUUUCCGCCAGGAGGACAGAUUGUCUGUGCCGCGUCAGAGUGAGCGGCGACAGCAAGCUCCGAGUGGCAGGGUCUAAAGUUAGGGUCAUUGCCACAGGCACAAGAGGUGCAGAUCCUCGACCAUGUAUUACAGGUUGCAUAGUGUUGUUCGUCAUGUUCGGUGCANGUCCCCUAGCUGCAUCUCCAGUACCAUCUACGGCCUCAGCGUAGCCAGCAUCUCAGCAGCCUUUUGGAGCAGCUCUGAGUUUCCGCCAGGAGGACAGAUUGUCUGUGCCGCGUCAGAGUGAGCGGCGACAGCAAGCUCCGAGUGGCAGGGUCUAUGCAGCCCAGGUGGAGGAUUCUACGGCAACCGACCGAGUGGUGGCAGGUAUCAUUUUGAUUACUGGCAUUAGAGCUCAUAUCCUUUUUGAUACCGGUGCAUCGCAUUCUUUUGUUAGCCGAGCAUUUGCAUUGUUGCAUGGUCUAAAGUUAGGGUCAUUGCCACAGGCACAAGAGGUGCAGAUCCUCGACCAUGUAUUACAGGUUGCAUAGUGUUGUUCGUCAUGUUCGGUGCAGUUGGAUUCGUGGAUCAUGCCCGCAGACCUGUUGGUGUUAGUGCAGCUGCAGGACUUCGACGUAGUGCUCAGUAUGGACUGGCUGGCGCGGUUCUAUGCUACUAUCGAUUGUGGAGCGAGGACGAUGACGUUCCGCGAGCCAGGCCAAGAGAAGUUCAUUUUUAGGGGUUGCAGGAGCACGUUGUUUGCCACUUGGAUAUCUUCGGCGAGGGCUCGACAAAUGAUGAGUAGAGGGUGUGUGGCAUUUCUGGCGACUGUUGUAGAGGUACCUACGGCGGCACCGGGACUCGAGGAUAUUCCUGUAGUCCGCGAGUUUCCGAAUAUGUUUUCCCCAGAGUUGACGACGAUGCCGCCGGAGGGAGAUUGAGCUCGUGAUUGAUGUAGUUCCUGAAACUGCACCAAUCUCGAAGGUACCGUAUCGAAUGGCAUCGGCGGAGCUGAGAGAGCUAAAGGCGCAGCUUCAGGAUCUGAUGGAUAAGGGGUAUGUGAGACCCAGCCGUGCAUUGAUGAUCUAUUUGAUCAGCUGCAAGAAUCUUGUGUCUUCUCGAAAAUUGACCUCCAGUCCGGUUACCACCAGCUGCGGGUGAGGGCCGAGGAUAUUCCCAAGACGGCUUUUCGGACUCGGUACGGGCAUUAUGAGUUUACGGUCAUGCCUUUUGGAUUGACGAAUGCCCCCGCUGCAUUAAUGGAUUUGAUGAACAUAGUGUUCAAGUCGUUCUUGGAUAGAUUUGUAGUAAUCUUCAUUGACGAUAUCUUGAUUUACUCCCGGAGUGAUGCAGAGCAUGAGGAGCACUUGAGUACUGUGCUACAGUUUCUGCGAGAGAAGAAGUUGUAUGCCAAGUUGAAGAAAUACGAGUUCUGGUUCCGGGAGGUUGCUUCCUUAGGCCGCGUGAUUUCUGCUGAGGGAGUAGCAGUGGACCCGAAGAAGAUCGAUGCUAUUCGGGAUUGGCCCAGACCGACGACGAUGACUGAGGUGAGGAGUUUUCUUGGACUGGCAGGAUAUUCCCGUCGGUUUGUGGAAGGCUUUGCGAAGCUUUCCACACCCCUCACUCGAUUGAUUCGAAAGGGGAUUCAGUUCAUCUGGAGUGAGGAUUGUCAGAGGAGCUUUGAUCAGUUGAGACUGAGGUUGACGUCAGCUCCUAUCCUUGCCCUUUCUUUGAUGGGUGAAGGAUUUGUGAUCUUCAGUGAUGCAUCGCACAGCGGGCUGGGCUGUGCGCUGAUGCAGUAUGGUAGGGUAAUUGCUUAUGCUUCACGGCAGUUAAAGAAUUAUGAAAAAAAUUACCCUACGCAUGAUUUGGAGCUUGUCGCAGUAGUCUUUUCUUUGAAGUUGUGGCGGCAUUACUUGUACGGCGAGCACUGCGAGGUUUUUACCGAUCAUAAAAGUCUCAAGUAUCUAUUCACCUAGAGGAAAUUGAAUGUAAGGCAGCGCCGGUGGUUGGAGUUACUGAAGGACUAUGACGUCAGUAUUCAGUAUCAUCCCGGCAAGGCGAAUGUGGUGGCAGAUGCGUUGAGCAGGAAGGCAGUGCAGAACUUGAGUUUGAUGAUCACAUAGUAGAGGUCGUUACUCGAGGAGCUGCAACGGCUGAGGCUCGAGAUAGUGUCCCCUGGGUCUACUGCGAGACUGAUGUCUUUAGUCUUGCAGCCUACUAUGUUGGAUAGGAUCCGAGAGAAACAGAGUGGAGAUCCACACUUGUUGAGGAUUCGAGAGCUAUUAGAUAUGGGACAGGCGGAGGGCUUUGUAGUAGACAGUUUGGGAGUACUAUGGUACAGGGACCGACUGUGUGUGCCUAUGGAUUUAGAGAUCCGAGCGGAUAUUUUGAGAGAGGCUCAUUGUGCUCCUUAUACGGUUCACCCUAGUGAAACCAAGAUGUAUAAAGACUUAAAGGCACAGUUCUGGUGGAACGAAAUGAAGAGGGACAUUGGCGGAUUUGUGGCUUAGUGUCUGACUUGUCAACAGGUGAAGGCCGAGCAUCAGGUACCUGCUGGCAAGCUUCAAAGUCUGUCAGUGCCCGAGUAGAAAUAGGAGCAGAUCACGAUGGACUUCGUCGUAGGAUUACCAAGAGCACAGGGUGGCUUCGAUGCUAUUUGGGUGAUAGUGGACAGACUAACUAAGUCUGCUCACUUCCUGCCAGUUCAGACCACCUGGUCCAGAGAGAGGCUCGUGCAGCAAUACUUGGAUGAGAUCGUCAGGCUGCAUGGUGUGCCGAUGUUGAUUGUAUCGGACAGAGACCGGAGGUUUGUUUCGUAUUUUUGGCGGAGUCUUCAGACAGCCUUGGGUACACAGCUACAUUUCAGCACGGCGUUUCACCCACAGACAGAUGGUCAGUCAGAGAGGACCAUACAGACUCUAGAGGACAUGCUGAGGGCAUGCGUCCUGGACUUUGGAGGAGGGUGGUAUCGACAUUUGAAACUGGCUGAGUUUGCGUAUAACAACAGUUAUCAAACGAGCAUCCAGAUGGCUCCGUUUGAAGCGUUGUAUGGACGCAGAUGUCGAUCCCCUUUGUUUCGGAGUGAUGUGGGUGAAAGGAAGACGCUAGAGCCUGAGAUCUUGUUAGAGGCUGAGGAAAAGGUGAGAGUUGCUCAGCGACACCUUUUGACAGCCAAGAGCUGCCAGAGGAGCAACGCCGAUACCAGGAGACGAGACUUGGAGUUCCAGGUUGGAGAUCCUGUUUUUCUCAAAGUCUCGCCAUCCAGAGGAAUUCGCAGAUUCGGAGUGCGUGGAAAGCUCAGUCCACGUUUCGUUUGCUCUUUUGAGGUAUUGGAGCGAGUUGGACCGGUUGCCUACAGGAUUGCUCUACCUCCACGACUAGCAGGCAUCCACGAUGUUUUCCACGUCUCGGCUUUGAGGAGAUAUGUUUUCGAUCCUUCUCACGUGAUCGACUUCACUCCACUCGGGAUUGGCGAGGAUUUGAGAUACGAGGAGCGACCAUUGCGAAUUCUUGCUCGGGAGACGAAAGAAUUGCGCAAUCGGGUCAUCCCGUAUGUGAAAGUACAGUGGAGUAAUCACGAGGAGCGGGAGGCGACUUGGGAGCCAAAGACGGUGAUGAGGGAGUCCUAUCCCUAUCUGUUUGAUGCUUUAAGCUGAGAUACGCUUAAGUUUCGAGGACGAAACUUUUUAUAAUGGGAGAGGGUGUAGUAUCCCUGGUGUUCAGCUUUUGAGGCUUGUCGACACGCCGUGAGGGUGUUGGGACAAGUCCGAGUCUCGUUGGCGCAAAAUAGACGCAAAACGGACUCAGUAGGGACGCGAGAGCAGGAUGAAGCACUGGAAUAUGCAAAAUGCAGAUUUUCUGCUUGUUGUACCGGUACAACAUCAGGGAUGUACUGGUACACUUUCUGUACCGGUACAGAAUCGAAAGUGUACCGGUAUACUUCGCCUGUUUCCACGCAGCUGCUCUUGGGUUGCCUUUUGUACCGGUACACAUGCCCGUGUACCGGUACACCUGAGUAGAUAAGGGGCUUUUUGGUAAUUUCUUACCUCAUAGACUUCACCCUUAUCCCUACUUUUUAUACCAGUGUAGAGAGGAUGAGAGGGAGGAUUUGACUGGUUUUCUUUCCCUCUCUCUCUAGCUUGGUCCGGUGGUGGAGGAGCUCGGUUGGAGUUCGAUGUCGCCGACGUCGUACCGCGGUGCAGUUCGAGUGUGCAUUCGUUAUCGUAGCAUCGCAAGGAGGCCGGGCGAGGUUGCGAUUCUGCCAUUCUCGACGUCGUGCCAGUUUGGGUUUAGCUUUUGAGGUGGGUUAAUCGUCGAUUUAUCUUCUAAGUAUAUAGAGAUAGUCGGCAUGUGUCGUUGUAGUUGUUUUUGCAUAUCCUAUUCGCUCGAUUCAUGGAUUUGAUGUUUCUUUUACAAAAAAUCUGAAUUGGAGCCUAAUGUUACUAAAUCUACUACACAUGUGGGACUUGGAUAUGACUUAGGAGAAAACUGCGAUUAUGACCUGUCAUAUGCUUAAACUACCAGAUUUAGCUCUAGGAGCCGUUGUUAUUUUUGUAUCGCCGCAGUAUCAGUGUGGUGGAUACUCCAGGUAGUUUAGGUUUCAGUUACGCUCGUGCUGGGAUGUCGGGUGUAUUUUUACAGUAGCGUUCAGACUGUUCCGGAUAGUUGGGUGCUGUCGAGAUUGACAGUGGACCCAGUUUGCCGAGUUGGCAUCAGAUUAUGCCGAGGGCACGUGAUUUGUUGGUUGCUAGACUAGUUGGAACCUGUUUUCUUGACUUUAGCCUGUGAGAGCUUGAUUGAGCUUGACAAAGAUACGCUUGCAUACUCGUUUGGGUCGCGCCCACGAAUGCCACUCCGGA